rnacentral:rRNA from 1 species
UACGUAGGGGGCGAGCGUUGUCCGGAUUUAUUGGGCGUAAAGAGCUCGUAGGCGGUUUGGCAAGUCGGGUGUGAAAACUCCGGGCUCAACUCGGAGACGCCACUCGAUACUGCCAUGACUCGAGUCCGGUAGGAGAGUGCGGAAUUCCUGGUGUAGCGGUGAAAUGCGCAGAUAUCAGGAGGAACACCGGUGGCGAAGGCGGCACUCUGGGCCGGUACUGACGCUGAGGAGCGAAAGCGUGGGGAGCGAACAGG